UCAGGAACCCCAAAGCACUCACUCAUGGACCCUAAGUCAUAUGCCCCAGCAACUAGUGUUCUCUCCCUGCAUUCUGUCUUGACUUCCUUGAGUGGUCCCUCCAGGCAUGACCUGUUCUGCCUCCAGGAUCUGAAAUCUCUAAGAUUCCCAUCACCAUGGCCCCUUGCCCCUACCGUGCUCUGCCCUCACGCUCCAAAAACUCCUUCUGGGCACUCCAUCUUCUGGCUCAAGUCUGGAUUGGUUCCUUUCUGAAGCGGUGUCUUUGACAAAGGUCAAAAAGAGAAUUGGAACCAUCUUUUAGCAGACUUUACUUGGGGACUUCAAUAAUUGAGGACAGCCAAUGAUAACUGAAGUUUUAAGUUGCUAGAUUCAUUUAGAAGGUGGGGAUGGAGGAUAUCAACUGAAAAAAGAAAAAAGAGAAAUCAGUGGCAAUCUGGAGUUUCCUGAAAGAGAAUAUGGCCCUUUGGCAAUCAACAUACAAGGCAACGAAAACAAAAUGUGAAAAAUAUGAAAAGAGAUGUUAAGAGAUUGGUUAAGAAAGAUCAAUAUAGUAAACACUAUAGUUCUAAGUCUGUGUUAUAUUGAAUUAUGCCUCCCCCAAAAGAUAUGUUGAAGUCCUAAGCAUCAGUACCUCAGAAUGUGACCAUUUUGCACAUAGGG